ensembl:miRNA
UUGGCAGGUGCCAUGUUGGUGCCUGCUCCUUACUGUACACGUGGCUGGCAAGGAGACGGGAACAUGGAGCCGCCAU